rnacentral:rRNA from 1 species
AGCGGCGGACGGGUGAGUAACACGUGGGUAAUCUGCCUGUAAGACGGGGAUAACUCCGGGAAACCGGGGCUAAUACCGGAUAAUAAGAAAAAACGCAUGUCUUCUUUUUGAAAGUUGGUUUCGGCUGACACUUACAGAUGAGCCCGCGGCGCAUUAGCUAGUUGGUGAGGUAACGGCUCACCAAGGCGACGAUGCGUAGCCGACCUGAGAGGGUGAUCGGCCACACUGGGACUGAGACACGGCCCAGACUCCUACGGGAGGCAGCAGUAGGGAAUCUUCGGCAAUGGGCGAAAGCCUGACCGAGCAACGCCGCGUGAGCGAUGAAGGCCUUCGGGUCGUAAAGCUCUGUUGUUAGAGAAGAACAAGUACGAGAGUAACUGCUCGUACCUUGACGGUACCUAACCAGAAAGCCACGGCUAACUACGUGCCAGCAGCCGCGGUAAUACGUAGGUGGCAAGCGUUAUCCGGAAUUAUUGGGCGUAAAGCGCGCGCAGGCGGUCUC